UUCGGAUUGCGGCGACGUGAGCGGNUCGCCGCCCGCGACGUCGCAAGAAGUCCACUGAACCUUAUCAUUUAGAGGAAGGAGAAGUCG
rnacentral:rRNA from 1 species